ACAAUUUUGGAGCAAAGUGAUUUCCUUAACAUUUUGAUACAGAAACUACACGAAUGGAAAGAGCUACAUUUUAGACAAGAGUUAAAGGAAAAUGACAAUAUCUUAUUAACCACUACAUUGGGAACUUUACAUAACAUUGCACAAGACGAAGAUUCUAUCCCGAAACUUAGAAAAAUCGGAAUUAUAGAAGCUGUUCAACCGUACAUUGACUCCUCCUCGGAAAUAAAACGACUCUCAAGUCUUGCUAUUCUAGCAAAUGUUGUCAAUGAGGAGGAAAGCAAAAUUCUUCAGAGCAAUGAUGACUUGAUUACAUUUAUGGUAAAAUCUCUUAAGAAAGCAAUGCACAGCAAAAUAAGGCGUUGUCAUGGAUGGUCUGUUCGAGAAAUUGUAAGAACUGUAAGAAUGGUUGCUAGGAAUAAUGUAAAUAAAAGAACGGUUGUAACGCACGGGACUUUGACCCUCUUGGUGGCGUUAGCAGAUCAACCAAAACACACCGAAGAACAGAGAG